AAACUCCAGCGUAUAGACCGUACCCUAAACCGACACAGGUGGAUAAGUAGAGAAUACUAAGGCGCUUGAGAGAACGGUGUUGAAGGAACUCGGCAAAUUACAUGCGUAACUUCGGGAUAAGCAUGCCCCGCCUGUAGGCAACUGCGGUCGGGGGGCACAAACUAGGGGGUAGCGACUGUUUACCAAAAACACAGGGCUCUGCGAAAACGUAAGUUGACGUAUAGGGUCUGACGCCUGCCCGGUGCCGGAAGAUUAAGAGGAGGGGUUAACGCUCUGAAUCGAAGUCCCGGUAAACGGCGGCCGUAACAAUAACGGUCCUAAGGUAGCGAAAUUCCUUGUCGGGUAAGUUCCGACCUGCACGAAUGGCGUAACGACUUCCCCACUGUCUCCAACACCGACUCAGUGAAAUUGGAUUCCCCGUGAGGAUACGGGGUUCCCGCGGUCAGACGGAAAGACCCUAUGAACCUUUACUAUAACUUUGCAGUGGCAACACGAUUGACAUGUGUAGGAUAGGUGGGAGGCUUUGAAGCCGGGACGCUAGUUUCGGUGGAGCCAACGUUGAAAUACCACCCUUGUCCUUCGUGUUGUCUAACCAAGCCCCAUUAUCUGGGGCUGGGACUCUGCAUGGCGGGUAGUUUGACUGGGGCGGUCGCCUCCCAAAGUGUAACGGAGGCGCGCGAUGGUAAGCUCAAGACGGUUGGAAAUCGUCUUCAAGAGUGCAAUGGCAUAAGCUUGCCUGACUGCGAGACUGACAAGUCGAGCAGAGCCGAAAGGCGGUCAUAGUGAUCCGGUGGUUCCGAAUGGAAGGGCCAUCGCUCAACGGAUAAAAGGUACUCUAGGGAUAACAGGCUGAUAGCGCCCAAGCGUCCCCAGCGACGGCGCUGUUUGGCACCUCGAUGUCGGCUCAUCUCACCCUGGGGCUGGAGCAGGUCCCAAGGGUAUGGCUGUUCGCCAUUUAAAGAGGUACGUGAGCUGGGUUCAAAACGUCGUGAGACAGUUUGGUCCCUAUCUGCCGUGGGUGUAGGAUAUUUGAGAGGAGCUGUCCUUAGUACGAGAGGACCGGGAUGGACACACCUCUGGUGUACCAGUUGUUCCGCCAGGAACAGCGCUGGGUAGCUAUGUGUGGACGGGAUAAACGCUGGAAGCAUCUAAGCGUGAAGCCUCCCUCAAAACAAGAUAUCCCUAUCAGAGCCGUGGAAGACCACCACGUUGAUAGGCUGGAUGUGGAAAGGUA
rnacentral:rRNA from 1 species